CGGACGGGUGAGUAACGCGUGGGAAUCUGCCUACUAGCGGGGGAUAGCCCGGAGAAAUCCGGAUUAAUACCGCAUACGCCCUACGGGGGAAAGCUGGGGAUCUUCGUACCUGGCACUAGUAGAUGAGCCCGCGUUAGAUUAGCUUGUUGGUGGGGUAAUGGCCUACCAAGGCGACGAUCUAUAGCUGGUCUGAGAGGACGAUCAGCCACACUGGGACUGAGACACGGCCCAG
rnacentral:rRNA from 1 species